rnacentral:rRNA from 1 species
AGGUGGGCCUAACAGCAGCCAUCCUCUAAGGAGUGCGUAACAGCUCACCCGCCGAGGCCGCGGGCCCCGAAAAUACGUCGGGGCUUAAGCCGGCCGCCGAGACCCCGGAGCACGACCGCAUUGCGGUCGUGAUCUGGUAGGGGGGCGUCGAGGUAGGGCAGAAGUCGGGCCGUGAGGUCCGAUGGACCUACCUCGAGUGCGGAUCCCGGCGGUAGUAACAGCAAAGAGGGGUGAGAAUCCCCUCGGCCGGAAGGGCCAGGGUUCCUCAGCAACGGUCGUCAGCUGAGGGUUAGCCGGUCCUAAGGUAGGCCGUAACUCGGACCUACCGAAAGGGAAACGGGUUAAUAUUCCCGUGCCGUGGGGGUAGGUGCGGUAACGCAAGCCCGAACUCCGACGCUUCGGGGUAGGCCGACUAGGGCAGUCGCCCUAGCUAACUACCCGAAGGCCGGGGAGUACCGUAAUGGUGAGAACCGGCUCAAGGGAGGAAUGGCCGUCCGAUAGGACGGUUCGGCCGAACCCUGGAGCCCAUGAAAAGGGGUUCGGGAACGACCCCCCACGACCGUACCGAGAACCGACACAGGUGCCCCUGGGUGAGAAGCCCAAGGCCUGUGGGGUCUAACCCGAGCUAGGGAACUCGGCAAAUUGGCCCCGUACCUUCGGAAGAAGGGGUGCCUGCGGUUUUACGGCACACCCGUGGAACCGCAGGUCGCAGUGACUAGGGGGUCCUGACUGUUUAAUAAAAACAUAGGUCCCCGCAAGCCCGAAAGGGUGUGUACGGGGGCUGAAUCCUGGCCACUGGCGGUACGUUAAACCCGGGUACAACCGGGCGAAGCGCCGCUGAAGGCCGGGGGUAAACUCAGCCGUCCCGCCCCACUUAAAAUAAACUAAGUUUUAUAUCCGGGGUACACCUUGCUGUUGAUAUUAAGAUUUCAUAAUUAUGUUAUAGAAAAAGAGACAUCUGAAGAAAAGCUUCUGGUAUCUUGUAGGGGCCUUAGAUGAUGGAACGUUGUGCUUUGAUGAUGGAAGAUAUGUAAUGGAGUGUGGUUAGAAGUCCAUUGAGUAGUUAAAAUAUCUGUAGGUGCGAGGUUAGUAAAGUUCGUCUCAAACCCGUAAUUGUUAGGCACAGAGAAAACCCGGACAUCUACCGGAUAUCUUCACUUGUUUUAAUCUUAAAUUAAUAUUUCAUACUGAUUCUAAUUUUAGAGGCGGGAGGCUGGGGCCCAGCUCUGACCCUCUUAAGGUAGCCAAAUGCCUUGCCGGGUAAGUUCCGGCGCGCAUGAAUGGAUCAACGAGGGCCCCACUGUCCCAGCUCGGGACCCCGUGAAGCCCACGGAGCCGGUGCACAGGCCGGCAUCCUCCCGUAGGGAGAGAAGACCUCGUGGAGCUUUACCGCAGCCUGGCGCUGGCCUUCGGAUCCCGGUACGUAGAGUAGGCGGGAGGCGUUGAAGCCAGCCUUUCGGGGUUGGUGGAGCCGUAAGUGAAACACCGCCUACCGGGGUCUGAGGGCCUAACUCCGGGUCUGCCCGGAGGACAACGUCAGGUGGGCGGUUCGGCUGGGGCGGCACACCCGCAAAAAGAUAACACGGGUGCCCAAAGGUCGGCUCAGGCGGGUCAGAACUCCGCCGUAGAGUGCAAGGGCAAAAGCCGGCCUGACCGGACCCUUGACGGUAAGGGGUCCGGCCGGGAAACCGCGGCCUAGCGAACGCUCGUGCCCCUAUCGAUGGGGGCCGGGCAUGACAGAAAAGUUACCCCGAGGAUAACAGGGUCGUCGCGGGCGAGAGCUCCCAUCGACCCCGCGGUUUGCUACAUCGACGUCGGCUCUUCCCAUCCUGGCGGUGCAGCAGCCGCCAAGGGUGGGGCUGCCCGCCCAUUAAAGGGGAACGUGAGCUGGGUUUAGACCGUCGUGAGACAGGUCGGACUCUACCCACGGGAGGUGCGGGCCGCCUGAGGGGAAGGCGUCCUCAGUACGAGAGGAACGGGACGCCGCGGCCUCUAGUCGACCGGCUGUUCGACAGAGCAAGCCGGGCAGCCACGCCGUAGGGAGUAACCGCUGAAAGCAUCUAAGCGGGAACUCCCCCCCGAAAAGAGGCGGCCGUUCCCGGGUUACCGGGAGGAGGGCACCCGUAGAAGACGGGUUUGAUGGGGCGGGGGUGUAAGUCCCGAGGGUUUUCCCGAGGGAUUCAGCCUGCCGCUCCCAAUAGCCCGA